ensembl:rRNA 5S_rRNA 5S ribosomal RNA
AUCUACGGCCAUACCACUCUGAAUGCACCCCAUCUGGUCUGAUCUCAGAAGCUAAGGAGGAUUGGACCUGGUUAGUACUUGGAUGGGAGAAAUGACUACCAGGUUGCUGGAUAUA